rnacentral:tRNA from 1 species
GCGCUGGUGAUGUAAGGCGUAGCAUUGCUGCUGGAAAGCAGAAGGUGUGGGUUUGAGUCCCGUCUGGCGCA